rnacentral:rRNA from 1 species
UUCCACGUGUAGCGGUGAAAAUGCGUAGAGAUGUGGAGGGAACACCAGUGGCGAAGGGCGACUCUCUGGUCUGUAAACUGACGUGAGGCGCGAAAAGGCGUGGGGAGCGAACAGGAUUAAGAUACCCUGGUAGUCCACGCCGUAAACGAUGAAGUGCUAAAGUGUUUAGAGGGUUUCCGCCCUUUAGUGCUGCAGCAAACGCAUUAAGCACUCCGCCUGGGGAAGUACGGGUCGCAAGACUGAAAACUCAAAGGAAUUGACGGGGGCCCGCACAAGCGGUGGAGCAUGUGGUUUAAUUCGAAGCAACCCGAAGAACCUUACCAGGUCUUGACAUCCUCUGACAACCCUAGAGAUAGGGCUUCCCCUUCGGGGGCAGAGUGACAGGUGGUGCAUGGUUGUCGUCAGCUCGUGUCGUGAGAUGUUGGGUUAAGUCCCGCAACGAGCGCAACCCUUGAUCUUAGUUGCCAGCAUUCAGUUGGGCACUCUAAGGUGACUGCCGGUGACAAACCGGAGGAAGGUGGGGAUGACGUCAAAUCAUCAUGCCCCUUAUGACCUGGGCUACACACGUGCUACAAUGGGCAGAACAAAGGGCAGCGAAGCCGCGAGGCUAAGCCAAUCCCACAAAUCUGUUCUCAGUUCGGAUCGCAGUCUGCAACUCGACUGCGUGAAGCUGGAAUCGCUAGUAAUCGCGGAUCAGCAUGCCGCGGAGAAUACGUUCCCGGGCCUUGUACACAC